UCUCCUGGAAACGGGUGGUAAUGCCGGAUGCUCCAGUCCAUCGCAUGGUGGUCUGGGAAAGAUUUCAUCGGUAUGGGAUGGGGUCGCGUCCUAUCAGGUAGUCGGCGGGGUAACGGCCCACCGAGCCUACGACGGGUAGCCGGCCUGAGAGGGCGACCGGCCACAUUGGGACUGAGAUACGGCCCAGACUCCUACGGGAGGCAGCAGUGGGGAAUAUUGCACAAUGGGCGCAAGCCUGAUGCAGCGACGCCGCGUGCGGGAUGGAGGCCUUCGGGUUGUAAACCGCUUUUGUCGGGGAGCAAGCCUUCGGGUGAGUGUACCCUUCGAAUAAGCACCGGCUAACUACGUGCCAGCAGCCGCGGUAAUACGUAGGGUGCAAGCGUUAUCCGGAAUUAUUGGGCGUAAAGAGCUCGUAGGCGGUUCGUCGCGUCCGGUGUGAAAGUCCAUCGCUUAACGGUGGAUCUGCGCCGGGUACGGGCGGGCUGGAGUGCGGUAGGGGAGACUGGAAUUCCCGGUGUAACGGUGGAAUGUGUAGAUAUCG
rnacentral:rRNA from 1 species